rnacentral:rRNA from 1 species
AUUGAACGCUGGCGGCAUGCUUUACACAUGCAAGUCGAACGGUAACAGGCCGCAAGGUGCUGACGAGUGGCGAACGGGUGAGUAAUGCAUCGGAACGUGCCCAGUCGUGGGGGAUAACGCAGCGAAAGCUGCGCUAAUACCGCAUACGAUCUAUGGAUGAAAGCGGGGGACCGUAAGGCCUCGCGCGAUUGGAGCGGCCGAUGUCAGAUUAGGUAGUUGGUGGGGUAAAGGCUCACCAAGCCGACGAUCUGUAGCUGGUCUGAGAGGACGACCAGCCACACUGGGACUGAGAAACGGCCCAGACUCCUACGGGAGGCAGCAGUGGGGAAUUUUGGACAAUGGGCGCAAGCCUGAUCCAGCAAUGCCGCGUGCAGGAAGAAGGCCUUCGGGUUGUAAACUGCUUUUGUACGGGACGAAACGGCUCUGGUUAAUACCUGGGGCUAAUGACGGUACCGUAAGAAUAAGCACCGGCUAACUACGUGCCAGCCGCCGCCGUAACAC